rnacentral:tRNA from 1 species
UGGUGUAAUGGAUAGCACAUUGGACUUCUAAAUUAGUGAAAAAGGAAGCUAUCCAAAGGUUGUGGGUUCGAGUCACAC